rnacentral:misc_RNA from 1 species
AAGUCGUAACAAGGUUUCCGUAGGUGAACCUGCGGAAGGAUCAUUGAGAAUUUGGAACUUGUGGGUUUCUUUCUUUUUUUCCUUGGCUGGAGGCGCUUCGGCGCGGAAGGUUGGGGGGAAGAGGGGAGGGGCUUGCAUUUUUCUUUGUGAACUGUUUUUUUUGGGUUCUGGGGGUACCAUUUUUUGGGUUCGGGGGCUUUUUUUGGGCUUUUGAUAUUGGGUACUUUGUAUUUUUUUAAAAAGUUUCAUUUAUGACAACUUUCAGCAAUGGAUCUCUAGGCUCUU